UACGAAGGGGGCUAGCGUUGUUCGGAAUCACUGGGCGUAAAGCGCACGUAGGCGGAUUGUUAAGUCAGGGGUGAAAUGCCAAGGCUCAACCUUGGAACUGCCUUUGAUACUGGCAAUCUCGAGUCCGGGAGAGGUGAGUGGAACUGCGAGUGUAGAGGUGAAAUUCGUAGAUAUUCGGAAGAACACCAGUGGCGAAGGCGACUUACUGGACACAUAUUGACGCUGAGGUGCGAAAGCGUGGGGAGCAAACAGG
rnacentral:rRNA from 1 species